GUUUUGCUGUCUUCUCCAUGACACCAUCUAUCAACUGAGCAACCUCUCCAAGUCACUGCAGAGAUCAGUGUCAAUCCUGGCUGAAGCUCAGAGGUCCUUGUCCCCUUGUCAUAGAAAAGUACAGGUCAAGAUCUGGGCCUAAGCUGAGAGCAGUGCUGGACACAGACACCUUUGAGGGAGUCCUCCUGAAGCCUUCUGAUGCUGACCAGCAUGACAAGGCAAAGAACGAGCUCAUUGACUCUCUGUGCCGGUGCAUCACUGCUAGAUUUAGUGAUGUGAACAGUGGUGUCCUGCAGGCUAUGCGGCUGACCAGUUUCAAGUGCUGGUCAGAAGCAGACAUGAGUUCAGGUUAGCAAUUCAAAUGUAAUGGACACAUCUUUACGCAUUUUAUGUUUUAAGGCAACUGCUUAACUUUAGAUGAAUGUUUCCCCUUUGUUCUCAGAUUUUGGAGAUGGAGAGAUAAACAAACUCAUCAGUCACUUACGACCUCUUCUGCUGCAGUGGAUGUGGAGUUGAUCCCUGAUCAAUGGACAAAUCUCAAGACUGAACUGUACACAGCAGGAUUCAGCCAAGGAACCUUUGAGAAGACCUGGCCUACUGUGAACAGAAUGCUCCGCCAUUGGUGUCCUGACGUCCUUGAUCUCUUUUUUGCUCUCCUCACCAUCCCUGCAACUACAGCUGAUUGCGAAAGAGGGUUCAGUGUGAUGAAUCAGGUAAAGAGUGACUGACUGCUCACCUGUGAGUUUGUGCGCAAACAUGGAACAAACAGAACUGAGGAUGGCUCAGAUUCAGAUGAACAAAUGAGUUCAGAGAGUGCUGAAGAAAUGUGAUGCGGUAGAGUUCUGAAAUUAUCAAAAUGAAAAAUAAAUUAUAUUUUUGUUGUAUACAUGUACUGUAUGUGUAUGUAUUGUACUUGGAUUGUGUUAACAAAAUGUAAAAAUAAUUCAUUCAGCGGCACUCAU